GGGUCCAUGGUCUAGUGGUACGAUUCUCCCUUCGGGCAGCGCCCGCAGCGUGAUGCUGUGAAAAUGGGAGAGGUCCUGGGUUCGAUCCCCGGUGGACCCC
rnacentral:tRNA from 1 species